ACGGGUUAGGGUUUUCUCUAUGACCUAGGAGCAUAGCUCUAUAAAUAAGAAGCGAGAGCCGUCGCCGCCACCCACCCGCCCGACCUCGAAUAGACAAGUCCGCCGCCGCAAAGCCGAGACCGAGAGCGCAAGUUCCAUCUCCGCCGCCGCGAUGAGGGCCAAGUGGAAGAAGAAGAGAAUGAGGAGGCUCAAGAGGAAGCGCCGAAAGAUGAGGCAGAGAUCCAAGUAGGUGGCCUAUGAGGAAGGGAAUCAUGUUCUGUUCUGCAUCAUGGCGUAGGCACUUCGGGAUGAUUUCUGAUGUGCUUGACUUGAUCUGUAGGAUAUGUGAACCUUCUUGAGUUUAAUUGAAUUUUAGCUCUUAAGAUUUACGCAGUUAUAUGAGAUUUCUGGUACUGUGUUUCUUCUC